CCUACGGGCGGCUGCAGUGGGGAAUAUUGCACAAUGGGCGCAAGCCUGAUGCAGCCAUGCCGCGUGUGUGAAGAAGGCCUUCGGGUUGUAAAGCACUUUCAGCGGGGAGGAAGGCGGUGAGGUUAAUAACCUCAUCGAUUGACGUUACCCGCAGAAGAAGCACCGGCUAACUCCGUGCCAGCAGCCGCGGUAAUACGGAGGGUGCAAGCGUUAAUCGGAAUUACUGGGCGUAAAGCGCACGCAGGCGGUCUGUCAAGUCGGAUGUGAAAUCCCCGGGCUCAACCUGGGAACUGCAUUCGAAACUGGGAAGCGAGGGGCUUGGAGAGGGGGGUAGAAUUCCAGGUGUAGCGGUGAAAUGCGUAGAUAUCUGGAGGAAUACCGGUGGCGAAGGGGGCCCCCUGGACAAAGACUGACGCUCAGGUGCGAAAGAGUGGGGAGCAAACAGGAUUAGAUACCCUUGUAGUC
rnacentral:rRNA from 1 species